UGGUAGCAACAAGGCAAACUCUCC
rnacentral:piRNA from 2 species